GGUAAAAUGGCUGAGUGAGGCAAUAAAUUGUAAAUUUAUUUACGAAUAAAAAUUCUUUUAUCA
rnacentral:tRNA from 1 species